rnacentral:tRNA from 1 species
GCUCAGGUGGCGGAAUUGGUAGACGCGCUGGACUCAAAAUCCAGUGUCCUCAACAGACGUGCGGGUUCGAUUCCCGCCCUGAGUA